GGAAUAUUGCGCAAUGGAGGAAACUCUGACGCAGUGACGCCGCGUAUAGGAAGAAGGUUUUCGGAUUGUAAACUAUUGUCUGCAGGGAAGAAUCAAGACUGUACCUGCAAAGAAAGCUCCGGCUAACUACGUGCCAGCAGCCGCGGUAAUACGUAGGGAGCAAGCGUUAUCCGGAUUUAUUGGGUGUAAAGGGUGCGUAGACGGGAAAUUAAGUUAGUUGUGAAAUCCCUCGGCUCAACUGAGGAACUGCAACUAAAACUGGUUUUCUUGAGUGCAGGAGAGGAAAGUGGAAUUCCUAGUGUAGCGGUGAAAUGCGUAGAUAUUAGGAGGAACACCAGUGGCGAAGGCGACUUUCUGGACUGUAACUGACGUUGAGGCACGAAAGUGUGGGGAGCAAACA
rnacentral:rRNA from 1 species